GACGUUUUGUUAUUGUGCUCAUAAAGAAUUAUUUGCAACUAUGCCAUUCAUAAUAAAACAUGAUCAAAUCAAAUGUACACAUAAACCCAGAUUACAGAUAUGUCACCUUGCUCCCAUUUUCCAACCUAAAGCAGGACUGAAGGGUAGAACUUGUGAGAAGAGUGGACCACAUAUAUUACCUACAGUAUGUCAGUUUCCCUCAUCAAUACUUCAAAAGAAGAAAAAAAGGUGUGGAACAUCCUGAACGUCCUUCAGGGCUGAUGGAGAGGACUGCAGAAACCAACAACAGGACACCCACAGUUACCCCACAACCAGCAGUCACUGCUACGAACUUCCAUAUCCCCCUUUCUGCUUUGAAACAAGAGACCAUGAACAAGUGUCAGUUUCACUUCCCACAGUUAGCGUCAGACAUGUUCUGUGCUGCUUUCAUUAUAGUUAAGCAAGCAAAACCUGUGUAGACCCCAACACAACAUAGAAGGUUAAGUCUUGAUUCAGUCAUGUUACACAAUAACUGAGUAAAUCAUGUCAUCAACAUUUUUCCAUCAGUAAAUUCAGGUGGAAAAGAAUGACUCAUUCUCACCUGAAGCUGUUUUCUCAGAGGUUUCAUAGACAGUGCUGUCUUUACUGUCAGGCAUGUUUACACUUACACCUAGUGAGUACACAGCCACAGAAGUUGUUAAUAUGUCCACAGAAAUGCCUGAACACGUUAUGAA